ACCUUAUGUGGUUAUUUAUUCCCGCGUUGAUAUGCUGAUUCUGCUGCUGUUGUUGUUGUUGUUGUUGUUGCUAAUACUGCUGCUGGUUUGGCGCCCGUCCUUCUGAAUGUGGUUAUUGGUUUUAUUGUGUCUUUCUGUUUGUUGGGUACUUCGUUGUUAUGUUGGCGCUGUUGGGUGUUUUUUGCAUUGUCCUCUAAUUCGUAUUUAGACGAGUUAGGAGGACAAUGCAGGGAUGUGUUCAUUUGUUAUGGACAUAAUAUACAUACAUAUGUGCUCAUCCGUACAUUUGAGCAUAAUGGAAAAGGAAAGUAAGUAAUUGUAAUCAAUAGAAAAGCUUUUUAUAUGUAAAAUGUAUCUUUUUUAAACAGAUCAUAUUAAAACGUUGUGCACGUUGCGGGAAUAAAUCGAUUGUGAUAUAAAUUAUGUGCGGGUUAACUUCCAAAUUAAGCUUAAUAAAAAUGAUCCACCGCGACCGAAAAGUGUUGAAGAGCUUUGGGCGGGGCUUUCUGAUCAACUAAAUGCCCUUAAAGGUCCUCCGCCAAAUGGAGAUAGAAUCUGAGCCUUUGAAAGAACCAGAUUCGGUCACGGGCCAGGAAGUUAAAGGCGCACAAGAUGCUAACAGGUGGCGGCCUCAGUUCGAAAAAUUUACCUGUCCGAAUGUGAACAUUGGGACUAUUCACGGUUGAUAAGUUGGCUGAUAUACCAACCAUUGGUACCGAGGAAGAAGUUGUUUUUACACCUACACCAUCACCCCUGAUGACGACCUCGGACGCGUCCAAUGACUGCAGUCCAUCAUCGUCCCGAACAAAAAGAAUUACGACGGACAUGUUUACAAAUGUUAUGGAUUUGAUUAAAGGAAAGGACGAGGAAGAGAAAGCUUUCCGGACUCAGACUUUAGAGUCUAUAAACAAGCAUACAUAAUCCAUAAAUAAUUUACCGGCAGCCACGGUGUCGUUUGCCCAGAACAUUGUAAAUACAAAAAAGUGGAAACUAAAAAUGUGCCUGGGUUGGCUCAAAACCGUGAAAUAUCCAUUUCCCACACAUCACUGGUAUGAGCCAUUGCUUAAAAAAUAUAGAACUUAAAUAAACUAGAGAAAUUUGAUUGAAUGAAGACAUACUGUUUCUUUGAAAAUAAAAUGUAACUCACCCGAACUUCAAACGGAAUUGAUGUUUGCUGUUGGUCAUACGGCUUGAGUUGUUGGAUGAGAUCCCAGCACUAAGAUGGAAAUCGAAAGAAUUUUUUUCGUAUAAAAAUGGAUUUCGCCUACGAAUGUAGCUAGAAGAUGAGCACUUUGUUAUCCAUUAUUGCAAACUUACAAAAGUCUUGCGGUAUUUUCGCUAGUUGGCGCUGAAAGCGCG
rnacentral:lncRNA from 1 species